AUUGAACGCUGGCGGCAGGCCUAACACAUGCAAGUCGAGCGAGCGGCGGACGGGUGAGUAAUGUCUGGGAAACUGCAUGAUGGAGGGGGAUAACUACUGGAAACGGUAGCCAAUACCGCAUACAAUAAGAUGUGCACAGAUGGGAGGAGCUGGAUGGUGGGGUAAUGGCUAACCUAGGCGACGAUCCCUCGCCGGUCUGAGAGGAUGACCCGCCACACUGGAACUGAGACACGGUCCAGACUCCUACGUGAGGCAGCAGUAGGGAAUAUUGCGGAAUGGACGCAAGCCUGAUGCAGCAAUGCCGCGUGAGUGAAGAAGGCCUUCGGGUUGUAAAGCACUUUCAGCGGGGAAGCGUUACCCGCACAGGAAGCACCGGCUAACUCCGUGCCAGCAGCCGCGGUAAUUC
rnacentral:rRNA from 1 species